GCUGAACGCUGACAGAAUGCUUAACACAUCAGCAAUUGAUUGGUGGCGGACGGGUGAGUAACGCGUAAAGAACUUGCCUCCCAGCUAGGGACAACAUUUGGAAACGAAUGCUACUACCUAAUACUGUGAGAGAGCUUUGCGUCCCAUUAGCUAGUUGGCGAGGUCACGGCUCACCAAGGCGAUGAUGGGUAGACGGCCUGAGAGUGUGAUCGGCCACAAGGUGACUGGGACACCGCCCUUACUCCUACGGGAGGCAGCAGUGUGGAAUAUAUGAGAAUGGACCAAAGUCUGAUCCAGCAAUUCGGUGUGCACGAUGAAGUUUUCGGAAUGUAAAGUGCUUUCUGUUGGGAAGCGGUACCAACAGAAGAAGUGACGGCUAAAUACGUGCCAGCAGCCGCGGUAAUAC
rnacentral:rRNA from 1 species